GAAGGCCUGUAUUACUCUAAAAUACAUCUUCUGAAUGCAACUCAAACACUUUAAUUAAGCUAAAACCUC
rnacentral:tRNA from 1 species